GGCCUCGUACCUGAGCUAGUAGAGCACCCGCGGUACUAAAGCGAGGAUGUUGACCAUGCGUGGGUUCGAAUCCCACCGGGGCCG
rnacentral:tRNA from 1 species